rnacentral:rRNA from 1 species
GACGAAGGUGGCGAGCGUUGUUCGGAUUCACUGGGCGUAAAGGGUGCGUAGGCGGUCGGGUAAGUCUGGCGUGAAAUCUCCAAGCCUAACUUGGAAACUGCGUUGGAUACUAUCCGGCUCGAGGAAUGGAGGGGAGACUGGAAUACUUGGUGUAGCAGUGAAAUGCGUAGAUAUCAAGUGGAACACCAGUGGCGAAGGCGAGUCUCUGGACAUUUCCUGACGCUGAGGCACGAAAGCCAGGGGAGCAAACGGG